rnacentral:rRNA from 1 species
UGGGGAAUUUUGGACAAUGGGCGAAAGCCUGAUCCAGCAAUGCCGCGUGUGUGAAGAAGGCCUUCGGGUUGUAAAGCACUUUUGUCCGGAAAGAAAUCCUUGGCUCUAAUACAGUCGGGGGAUGACGGUACCGGAAGAAUAAGCACCGGCUAACUACGUGCCAGCAGCCGCGGUAAUACGUAGGGUGCAAGCGUUAAUCGAAAUUCUGGGCGUAAAGCGUGCGCAGGCGGUUUGCUAAGACCGAUGUGAAAAUCCCCGGGCUCAAACCUGGGGAACUGCAUUGGUGACUGGCAGGCUAGAGUAUGGCAGAGGGGGUAGAAUUCCACGGUGUAGCAGUGAAAUGCGUAGAGAUGUGGAGGAAUACCGAUGGCGAAGGCAGCCCCUGGGCCAAUACUGACGCUCAUGCACGAAAAGCGUGGGGAGCAAAACAGGAUUAGAUACCCUGGUAGUCCACGCCCUAAAACGAUGUCAACUAGUUGUUGGGGAUUCAUUUCCUUAGUAACGUAGCUAACGCGUGAAGUUGACCGCCUGGGGAGUACGGUCGCAAGAUUAAAAACUCAAAGGAAUUG